CCUUACAUUCAUGAAGAACUUUCAGUAAAAACUCAAGCCUCACAUUCUGUUUUUCCUCACUUUGCGUCUUCUCUCUUAGUUGUCACUCAAAAAUCACAGUGCCACUAUCGUAAUGAUUUCACCACACACCCAUAAAGGUUCCCAUGCCCUUUAUUUAUGGGCCGCAAGUCACUAAGACUUAACAACAUAAGACUGAUUAGAAAACAUUAAACAGACAUGUGUAACAGUCAAAUGAAACA
rnacentral:lncRNA from 1 species